ACUCCUACGGGAGGCAGCAGUGAGGAAUAUUGGACAAUGGGCGGGAGCCUGAUCCAGCCAUGCCGCGUGCAGGAAGACUGCCCUAUGGGUUGUAAACUGCUUUUAUACGGGAAGAAACACUCCCUCGUGAGGGAAUUUGACGGUACCGUAAGAAUAAGGAUCGGCUAACUCCGUGCCAGCAGCCGCGGUAAUACGGAGGAUCCAAGCGUUAUCCGGAAUCAUUGGGCGUAAAGGGCGCGUAGGCGGUUACAUAAGUCCGAUGUUAAAGCGUAGGGCUCAACCCUAUAAAGGCGUUGGAUACUGUGAAACUAGACUUCUGGAGAGGUAAGUGGAAUUACCAGAGUAGCGGUGAAAUGCGUAGAGAUCUGGAGGAAUACCGAUGGCGAAGGCAGCCAUCUGGCCUAAUACUGACGCUGAGGUACGAAAGCAUGGGGAGCAAACAGGAUUAGAUACCCUGGUAGGUCAGU
rnacentral:rRNA from 1 species